rnacentral:rRNA from 1 species
UACGGAGGGUGCAAGCGUUAUCCGGAUUCACUGGGUUUAAAGGGUGCGCAGGCGGACACUUAAGUCCGUGGUGAAAUCUCUGGGCUUAACCCAGAAACUGCCAUGGAUACUAUUUGUCUUGAAUGUUGUGGAGGUUAGCGGAAUAUGUCAUGUAGCGGUGAAAUGCAUAGAUAUGACAUAGAACACCAAUUGCGAAGGCAGCUGGCUACACAAAUAUUGACGCUGAGGCACGAAAGCGUGGGGAUCAAACAGG